rnacentral:lncRNA from 1 species
GCAAACAAUAGGAUGGUCAAGUGCAAAACUUUGUUCAAGUACAUCAACUGCACACAAUAGGAUCGAUGGUCAAAUGUGCACACACUGAUGCCCUUUUCCAGCACUGCAUUACAUUAGCUGUUGAACAACUUUCACAUAGAAUAGUGCCAAUCUGCACACAGAUCAUUAACUUAAUGACAAAUUAUGCCACCAGAUACAGUCCAGAGUAACAAAAGCUAGCUCCAAUUAUGCCACCGGUAAGAAUAAGAAAGGCUCCAAAAUGCUCAUUUGAAAACAAAAACUACAUGCAUACAAUUUAUGUUCCAUGUGCUACCACAA